rnacentral:rRNA from 1 species
CCUACGGGAGGCAGCAGUGGGGAAUAUUGCACAAUGGGGGAAACCCUGAUGCAGCGACGCCGCGUGAGUGAAGAAGUAAUUCGUUACGUAAAGCUCUAUCAGCAGGGAAGAAACACUGACCUUACGGUCAGCAGACGGUACCUGAGUACGAAGCCCCGGCUAACUACGUGCCAGCAGCCGCGGUAAUCCGUAGGGGGCAAGCGUUAUCCGGAUUUACGGGGUGUAAAGGGAGCGUAGACGGUGCGCCAAGGCUGGAGUGAAAUGCCGCAGCUUAACUGCGGAACUGCUUGGGAAACUGGCGAAGUAGAGUGCGAGAGAGGUAAGCGGAAUUCCUAGUGUAGCGGUGAAAUGCGUAGAUAUUAGGAGGAACACCAGUGGCGAAGGCGGCUUACUGGACCGUAACUGACGUUGAGGCUCGAAAGCGUGGGGAGCAAACAGGAGUAGAUACCCCUGUAGUC